AUACGGAGGGUGCAAGCGUUAAUCGGAAUUACUGGGCGUAAAGCGCGCGUAGGCGGCUCUGUAAGUCGGAUGUGAAAGCCCUGGGCUUAACCUGGGAAUUGCAUUCGAAACUGCAGGGCUAGAGUAUGGUAGAGGGAAGUGGAAUUUCCGGUGUAGCGGUGAAAUGCGUAGAUAUCGGAAGGAACACCAGUGGCGAAGGCGACUUCCUGGGCCAAUACUGACGCUGAGGUGCGAAAGCGUGGGGAGCAAACAGGAUUAGAAACCCCGGUAGUCC
rnacentral:rRNA from 1 species